rnacentral:lncRNA from 1 species
AGCUUUCUAAAAUCUCUUUAGGGGUGUGCGUAGGCUCCUGUGUCUAUGCCUGCUUUUGACUGCCCAGUUGAAGCCUCUUCCUAUGCCUUUUAAAAUUUCACGCACUAUAAGGAGGAAGAGCUCAGGGCUCCCAAAACUUUUUAUUUAGAGGGAAGAAUGCUAGGGAGAUGGGUAUGCAGAGGGUUGACCAAAUUGGAAGAAAAUAUUUAUUCUGUAGUUUGGUGUUGGAAAAGGGAAUUUUCCAAUCAGCCACACCUCAGUGUUGCGGCAAAAUAAUUCUUGGCUCCCCUGGAAACGCAUGGGCAAGGUAGGGCAGAGCUGCUGCUGCUGAUACUGCCACCACCCUGGGCUUCCUGCUGACUCUGGGCUACUCCCUGGGGACAACAGAUUUGCAUUGACGUCCGGGGCUGUCCAGAGGCCCUCAAGAGCCAGUUGUGAGCUGAGCCCAGUAUGGGAAAGAUCUACCUUCUGGAAGCUACUACUACGUGGUGCUUGGAAAGAGGACUCAGGAGAGUGCAGCUUGCUCUGUGAGUGGGUGACAACCUCUUGGCGACUCAGGCUCAGCUGAGGAUGGUGCCAGUGUGCCGGAGACAGCCGUCAUACUGCCGGAUAGAGUGGCUCACUUGCAUGUAUUUGGAACAAAAAAAGGAGAUGCCUGGCAGCCCCGCUCUCUGCAGUGCUGUUGAGCCACCAAUUUUUGUGGUUUUGUGACCACAAGUGCUGACUGAUGCGACAUGACCCCAGUCUUGUCAGUGAAUCAUCACCAGGCUGCUUACUGGAAACUGGAUGCAGCAAGGAAAUAGGAUUUAACCGCUCUCUGCCUCCCAGGGAGGAGCAGAGGCUGUGCUGCAAGAGGCUGGGGCAUGUCUCUGGAGGAGCUCUUGGGAACAGGAACGUGCUUCUCCCAGCGAGAGCAGCCAUGCCGUCUUAAAGCACUAGCUUUCUUGAAAGCAGUUCAGGGACAUGCCCAUCCUUCUGUGCCAGAGCUGAGCCCUUCUACUGGGGGAACAUGGAGACACGCGAGCUCCAGUCUUCAUUCCACUCCUCCUCCUUCCCUUUGCCCUCCACUGUCUCCUGCUGUCCCCCCAGCUCAUCCCAGGGGCAGGGUAACCUUGG